UACGUAGGGUGCAAGCGUUGUCCGGAAUUAUUGGGCGUAAAGAGCUCGUAGGCGGUCCGUCACGUCGGCUGUGAAAACCCGGGGCUCAACCCCGGGCCUGCAGUCGAUACGGGCAGACUAGAGUGCGGUAGGGGAGACUGGAAUUCCUGGUGUAGCGGUGAAAUGCGCAGAUAUCAGGAGGAACACCGGUGGCGAAGGCGGGUCUCUGGGCCGUAACUGACGCUGAGGAGCGAAAGCGUGGGGAGCGAACAGG
rnacentral:rRNA from 1 species